rnacentral:rRNA from 1 species
UGGGGAAUAUUGCACAAUGGGCGCAAGCCAGAUGCAGCAACGCCGCGUGAACGAUGAAGGUCUUCGGAUCGUAAAGUUCUGUUGCAGGGGAAGAUAAUGACGGUACCCUGUGAGGAAGCCCCGGCUUACUACGUGCCAGCAGCCGCGGUAAUACGUAGGGGGCUAGCGUUAUCCGGAUUUACUGGGCGUAAAGGGUGCGUAGGUGGUCUUUCAAGUCGGUGGUUAAAGGCUACGGCUCAACCGUAGUUAGCCUCCGAAACUGGAAGACUUGAGUGCAGGAGAGGAAAGUGGAAUUCCCAGUGUAGCGGUGAAAUGCGUAGAUAUUAAAAAGAAUACCGGUGGCGAAGGCGACUUACUGGGCUCAUUCUGACGCUGAGGAACGAAAGCGUGGGUAGCAAACAGG